GACUGAUGGUGUAGUGGUAACACACCUGCUGAAUUCAGUGAUGAAAAAGGCUGUAAUCUAUAAGCAGGAGGCCCUGGUUUGAACCCGGUCAGGUCA